rnacentral:rRNA from 1 species
UACAGAGGGGGCAAGCGUUGUUCGGAAUUACUGGGCGUAAAGGGCGCGUAGGCGGCCUACUAAGUCGGACGUGAAAUCCCUCGGCUCAACCGGGGAACUGCGUCCGAUACUGGUGGGCUUGAAUCCGGGAGAGGGAUGUGGAAUUCCAGGUGUAGCGGUGAAAUGCGUAGAUAUCUGGAGGAACACCGGUGGCGAAGGCGGCAUCCUGGACCAACACUGACACUGAGGAGCGAAAGCCAGGGGAGCAAACGGG